UGCUCUGGAUUAGGCUUUGGCUUAAGGGAGUGUUGUGGCUGGUUUGAUCUUCUAUCCAGGCCACUCUAACUUGCUCCAUAUCAAC
rnacentral:pre_miRNA from 1 species